rnacentral:rRNA from 1 species
CCUACGUGAGGCAGCAGUGAGGAAUAUUGGUCAAUGGGCGCGAGACUGAACCAGCCAAGUAGCGUGAAGGAUGACUGCCCUACGGGUCGUAAACUUCUUUUGUAAAGGAAUAAAGAGAGGCACGUGUGCCUUGUUGUAUGUACUUGAUGAAAAAGGAUCGGCUAACUCCGUGCCAGCAGCCGCGGUAAUACGGAGGAUCCGAGCGUUAUCCGGAUUUAUUGGGUUUAAAGGGUGCGUAGAUGGGUUGUUAAGUCAGUUGUGAAAGUUCGGGGCUCAACCCUAAAAGUGCAAUUGAUACUGGCAGCCUUGAGUACAGUUGAGGUAGGCGGAAUUCGUGGUGUAGCGGUGAAAUGCUUAGAUAUCACGAAGAACUCCGAUUGCGAAGGCAGCCUACCAAACUGCCACUGACAUUGAUGCUCGAAAGUGUGGGUAUCAAACAGGAUUAGAUACCCGGGUAGUC